AGGAAUGAGCACACAGGCAACACUCUGGCUCCAUCUUGUGGCAUCGUGGUGUUAGAAGUCCAGCAGCUGCAUGGGAAAAGAGACGUAAACGUGUGAGAGUAGCAUGGGAAAUUAAACUUUCUGUGCUUUAAUGAUGCACAGAUUACUGUAACUCACUGCAAUCAAACUGAGAACUCACAUCUUCAGCUGGUACAAAUCAGUCUCUCAACUAUUAACAUAUAUGAGAAGCAGCCUCUGGAAAACAUGGGACAACAGAUUAAGGGAUUCAUCAUCUGGCAAUCUGUACGCAACUGUACCAAACAGAACUCCUUACCUUGGACAAAGACUCUGAGCAUCUCUGUCAUGAGCAGCGCGGCAUCACCACUUACUGUAACAGAAUGAGAUUUGCUGAGCCGAAAAAUCACAAAUAAAACACCAACACCUCUUGUUAAGAAUCACUUAUGUCAAGACGAUAUUUAUCCAACUCACGUCUGGUUUUGUCCUCCUUGAAAAAACUCGAUAAGAGUUUGGCUACUGUUUCCUGCAAAUGAGAACAGCAAACAUAGUAAUUCUACAGUGUGUUUAAUCAUCAGAA